rnacentral:rRNA from 1 species
CAGUAGCCGCGGUAAUACGUAGGUGGCAAGCGUUGUCCGGAAUUAUUGGGCGUAAAGGGCUCGCAGGCGGUUUCUUAAGUCUGAUGUGAAAGCCCCCGGCUCAACCGGGGAGGGUCGUUGGAAACUGGGAAACUUGAGUGCAGAAGAGGAGAGUGGAAUUCCACGUGUAGCGGUGAAAUGCGUAGAGAUGUGGAGGAACACCAGUGGCGAAGGCGACUCUCUGGUCUGUAACUGACGCUGAGGAGCGAAAGCGUGGGGAGCAAACAGGAUUAGAUACCCCUGUAGUCCCUGUCUCUUAUAA